ACACCUCAACUCUCAUGAUUUCCCGUGAUGAGCUUGGAUGUUGGGGGUUUUGUUGGCUGCGGUCAGCUCCUCUCAAAUGAAUCAGCUUGCCAAUGUUUGGUGGCAUUGCGAGUGUGAUAACUACCUACGCUCGUGGUUGUCGACCAGGUAACCUCCAGCGAUGGAGGUUUGCUGGAGCGUAUAAACGUCUCUCCUCGGUGAGGACAUUUUUUCAA
rnacentral:misc_RNA from 1 species